rnacentral:lncRNA from 1 species
ACAAAUUUGGCUCUAAGCACCUUGCUUCCUAGGAAAGAAGAAAACCUGUCUGGAAUGUGUGUGCAGAAGCCCCAGCGCUGCGAGGGUUCCUUAUUGUGUCCACAUCCUGCAGAGAGAUAAAGGAAGAAUAUAACUGAAGAUACUCCCCCUGGAUUUGUCACAGAGCUGGCUAAUGUGUUGGGUCAGCCACACAUUCUUCCAGUCCAAUCUACUAUUGAGUACUGAGACAAUCAAUUUCUUAGAACCAAAUUGGAUCCACUACGUAUAGACAGCAAGCCUCAAGCAGCCCACGGCCCCGGGACAGCUUCAGAGAGACCUGGGCAAGUCAUGCUACCUUCCUUGUCUUCUAGUUUUUGCAUAUAAAAAAUGAAAAGAAUGAUAUGUACCCUACCUCUCAGGGCUGAAAUGUGAUUCUAUAUGCAACAUACCUGGUGCAGAGAAGAAAGCUGUUAUCAUCAUCAGUGGUGGUGCUGUUGUAACAAUAAGUCACAGACUAAAAACCAGUAUGUAAGGGAAUGUCGCCAAAAUAGCAGAAGAAAUGGAGUUCUCAGAGGCCAUCAAAGCGUUUUGCUGGGGUCCUGGGAGGACAGAUGAAGACAUCUUGGAGGCGGUGAGAGGCUGCAGGCUGCAUCCAUCUGCCAUAUCAGGAUCUGACAAAACUGGUAACAGGUUUCUGCCACUGCAGUGUCCUGGGGGGUGAUGCAUCAUUUCCAAUGAAUAGGAACGGAGAGAGAACGGGGAGGGGAGGAGGCAAAAGAGGGAAGGAGGGAAGGAGAGAGAGUAAGACCUCGUUCUUCCCAGCCAGGUGUCCCUGAAUUCAGCCCUUAGCUGUUGUGGGUUAAUGGCCAGGCUCCAGGGGCAGGGUUUUAGUCCAAGCCUCAGAAGUCCUUGGCCCCAGCAAUGCCCAUGUUGUCCUUCUGGGAUCUGACUGGUGGCAAAGUAGGAAAAAGAUUUUGGUGUGACUGCAUUUGCCUUCGUGGUGGAUGAUGACAAUGGCCACCACUUUUCCAGCACUUCCUAUGAACGAGGCAGUGCAUAACCAUUUUCGUCUCACGUAACUG